rnacentral:tRNA from 1 species
GCUAAUGGUUAAGCCCUUGGCUGCUAACCAAAAUAUUGGUGGUUCAAGUCCACC